UGAAUACGAGAUGCUACGGCGUCGAAGCAGUCUAUGUCAUACUUCCAAGAAAAGCUUGCACUGUCAUAAACAAAUAAUGCCUGUACCAUAACCGACACAGGUGGGUAGGUAGAGUAUACUAAGGGGCGCGAGAUAACUCUCUCUAAGGAACUCGGCAAAAUGACUCCGUAGCUUCGGGAGAAGGAGUGCCUUAUUUAUAAGGUUGCAAUAACAAGAUCCAAGCAACUGUUUACCAAAAACACAGGUCUCCGCUAAGUCGUAAGACGAUGUAUGGGGGCUGACGCCUGCCCAGUGCCAGAAGGUUAAAGAAGUUGGUUAGCAUCCGCGAAGCUGAUAACUGAAGCCCUGGUGAACGGCGGCCGUAACGAUAACGGUCCUAAGGUAGCGAAAUUCCUUGUCGGGUAAGUUCCGACCCGCACGAAAGGCGUAAUGAUUUGGAUACUGUCUCGGAGAGGGGCUCGGUGAAAUAGACUUGUCUGUGAAGAUGCGGACUACCCGCACCAGGACAGAAAGACCCUAUGAAGCUUUACUGUAACCUGAAAUUGAAAUUGGACUUUACUUGCGCAGUAUAGGUGGGAGGCGUUGAGAAUAUUCUUGCGGGAUUAUUGGAGCCAUCAGUGAGAUACCACUCUUGUAAUGUUAGAUUUCUAACUUUGUAUCAUUAUCUGGUCAAAGAACAGUUUCAGGCGGGCAGUUUGACUGGGGCGGUCGCCUCCUAAACGGUAACGGAGGCGCACAAAGGUUUCCUCUGAACGGGUAGAAAUCGUAUCUAGAGUGUAAAGGCAUAAGGAAGCUUGACUGUGAGACCUACAAGUCGAGCAGGGACGAAAGUCGGUCUUAGUGAUCUGACGGUGCUGAGUGGAAAGGCCGUCACUCAACGGAUAAAAGUUACUCUAGGAUAACAGGCUGAUCUCCCCCAAGAGUUCACAUCGACGGGGAGGUUUGGCACCUCGAUGUCGGCUCAUCGCAUCCUGGGGCGGUAGUACGUCCCAAGGGUUGGGCUGUUCGCCCAUGAAAGCGGUACGCGAGCUGGGUUCAGAACGUCGUGAGACAGUUCGGUCCAUAUCCGGUGUAGGCGUUAGAAUAUUGAGAGGAGCCUUCUUUAGUACGAGAGGACCGAGAAGGACAUACCUCUGGUGUACCAGUUAUCGUGCCAACGGUAAACGCUGGGUAGCUAUGUGUGGAGUGGAUAACCGCUGAAAGCAUCUAAGUGGGAAGCCCACCUCAAGAUAAGUAUUCUC
rnacentral:rRNA from 1 species